GAUGAAGAACGCAGCGAAACGCGAUAUGUAAUGUGAAUUGCAGAAUUCAGUGAAUCAUCGAGUCUUUGAACGCACAUUGCGCCCCCUGGUAUUCCGGGGGGCAUGCCUGUCCGAGCGUCAUUGCUGCCCUCAAGCACGGCUUGUGUGUUGGGCCCCGUCCUCCGAUCCCGGGGGACGGGCCCGAAAGGCAGCGGCGGCACCGCGUCCGGUCCUCGAGCGUAUGGGGCUUUGUCACCCGCUCUGUAGGCCCGGCCGGCGCUUGCCGAUCAACCCAAAUUUUUAUCCAGGUUGACCUCGGAUCAGGUAGGGAUACCCGCUGAACUUAAGCAUAUCAAUAAGCGGAGGA
rnacentral:misc_RNA from 1 species